CCCCGCUCAGGACGAACGCUGUCGGCGUGCCUAAUACAUGCAAGUCGAGCGAGCCCUUUUGGGCGAGCGGCGGACGGGUGAGUAACACGUGGGCAAUCUGCCUUUCAGACUGGAAUAACACUCGGAAACGGGUGCUAAUGCCGGAUAAUACACGGGUAGGCAUCUAGCUGUGUUGAAAGAUGCAACAGCAUCGCUGAGAGAGGAGCCCGCGGCGCAUUAGCUAGUUGGUGGGGUAACGGCUCACCAAGGCGACGAUGCGUAGCCGACCUGAGAGGGUGACCGGCCACACUGGGACUGAGACACGGCCCAGACUCCUACGGGAGGCAGCAGUAGGGAAUCUUCCGCAAUGGGCGCAAGCCUGACGGAGCAACGCCGCGUGAGCGAAGAAGGCCUUCGGGUUGUAAAGCUCUGUUGCUCGGGGAGAGCGACAAGGAGAGUGGAAAGCUCCUUGUGAGACGGUACCGAGUGAGGAAGCCCCGGCCAACA
rnacentral:rRNA from 1 species